CCUACGGGGGGCAGCAGUGGGGAAUAUUGCACAAUGGGGGAAACCCUGAUGCAGCGACGCCGCGUGAGUGAAGAAGUAAUUCGUUAUGUAAAGCUCUAUCAGCAGGGAAGAAAAGGACGGUACCUGAGUAAGAAGCCCCGGCUAACUACGUGCCAGCAGCCGCGGUAAUACGUAGGGGGCAAGCGUUAUCCGGAUUUACUGGGUGUAAAGGGAGCGUAGACGGCAGUGCAAGUCUGGAGUGAAAGGCGGGGGCUCAACCCCCGGACUGCUCUUGAAAGUGGACGGCUUGAGUGCAGGGGAGGUAAGUGGAAUUCCUAGUGUAGCGGUGAAAUGCGUAGAUAUUAGGAGGAACCCCAGUGGCGAAGGCGGCUUACUGGACUGUAACUGACGUUGAGGCUCGAAAGCGUGGGGAGCAAACAGUAUUAGAUACCCGAGUAGUC
rnacentral:rRNA from 1 species